rnacentral:rRNA from 1 species
CACUCCUACGGGAGGCAGCAGUGGGGAAUUUUGGACCAUGGGCGAAAGCCUGAUCCAGCAAUGCCGCGUGAGUGAAGAAGGCCUUCGGGUUGUAAAGCUCUUUUGUCAGGGAAGAAACGGUGAGAGCUAAUAUCUUUUGCUAAUGACGGUACCUGAAGAAUAAGCACCGGCUAACUACGUGCCAGCAGCCGCGGUAAUACGUAGGGUGCAAGCGUUAAUCGGAAUUACUGGGCGUAAAGCGUGCGCAGGCGGUUUUGUAAGUCUGAUGUGAAAUCCCCGGGCUCAACCUGGGAAUUGCAUUGGAGACUGCAAGGCUAGAAUCUGGCAGAGGGGGGUAGAAUUCCACGUGUAGCAGUGAAAUGCGUAGAUAUGUGGAGGAACACCGAUGGCGAAGGCAGCCCCCUGGGUCAAGAUUGACGCUCAUGCACGAAAGCGUGGGGAGCAAACAGGAUUAGAUACCCGGGUAGUCCCA